UGGUGGCGAUGAUGAUUUAUCUUAACUCAUCUGAAAUACAAGCAUGAGGAUGUACAGUCACUACCUCAUCUGAUGCCACUC
rnacentral:snoRNA from 15 species